rnacentral:lncRNA from 1 species
UGCUAGACAAUACAUGUGAAAAGGAUGCAGCAGUAUAAUCUAAACAGCAUCCAAUUGGUCUCAUUUUUUGUGGUAUAACUUAUAGGGGUAGACAAACAGAAAGGCCAAAUGGUUUUUUUUUUCAAACUUAAACGGCACAAAUGCAAGUGAAGAAGGAUGAACAAAUCAAUUACUAUCCAGACAACGAAAAGAAAAAAAGGAGCAUAAAAGUUGUAGAACUACACGAGUUCAAUUAGCAUUUUUACCUUGAUGGAAGGCACCAUAGCGAUUGCUUCCUCCACAGUUUCAGGACACAGGUUGCCAAGAAC